GACGAACGCUGGCGGCGUGCUUAACACAUGCAAGUCGAACGGAAAGGCCCUGCUUUUGUGGGGUGCUCGAGUGGCGAACGGGUGAGUAACACGUGAGUAACCUGCCCUUGACUUUGGGAUAACUUCAGGAAACUGGGGCUAAUACCGGAUAGGAGCUCCUGUUGCAUGGUGGGGGUUGGAAAGUUUCGGCGGUUGGGGAUGGACUCGCGGCUUAUCAGCUUGUUGGUGGGGUAGUGGCUUACCAAGGCUUUGACGGGUAGCCGGCCUGAGAGGGUGACCGGCCACAUUGGGACUGAGAUACGGCCCAGACUCCUACGGGAGGCAGCAGUGGGGAAUAUUGCACAAUGGGCGGAAGCCUGAUGCAGCAACGCCGCGUGCGGGAUGACGGCCUUCGGGUUGUAAACCGCUUUCACCUGUGACGAAGCGUGAGUGACGGUAAUGGGUAAAGAAGCACCGGCUAACUACGUG
rnacentral:rRNA from 1 species